rnacentral:rRNA from 1 species
GGGUUGUGAGGUUAAGCGACUAAGCGUACACGGUGGAUGCCCUGGCAGUCAGAGGCGAUGAAGGGCGUGCUAAUCUGCGAUAAGCGCCGGUAAGGUGAUAUGAACCGUUAUAACCGGCGAUACCCGAAUGGGGAAACCCAGUGUGAUUCGUCACACUAUCAUUAACUGAAUCCAUAGGUUAAUGAGGCGAACCGGGGGAACUGAAACAUCUAAGUACCCCGAGGAAAAGAAAUCAACCGAGAUUCCCCCAGUAGCGGCGAGCGAACGGGGAGGAGCCCAGAGCCUGAAUCAGCAUGUGUGUUAGUGGAAGCGUCUGGAAAGUCGCGCGAUACAGGGUGACAGCCCCGUACACAAAAGCGCAUGUGUUGUGAGCUCGAUGAGUAGGGCGGGACACGUGGUAUCCUGUCUGAAUAUGGGGGGACCAUCCUCCAAGGCUAAAUACUCCUGACUGACCGAUAGUGAACCAGUACCGUGAGGGAAAGGCGAAAAGAACCCCGGCGAGGGGAGUGAAAAAGAACCUGAAACCGUGUACGUACAAGCAGUGGGAGCCCCACCACCAAAGCAUUCUCUGGUGUUGAAGGCCCUGCAAAGCAGCAUCGCGGUGGCGGAGCGUCGUUUGCGACGCCCAACACACAAAACAAGCGGUGAGUGCUUUGGGGUGGGGUGACUGCGUACCUUUUGUAUAAUGGGUCAGCGACUUAUAUUCUGUAGCAAGGUUAACCGUAUAGGGGAGCCGGAGGGAAACCGAGUCUUAAUUGGGCGUUAAGUUGCAGGGUAUAGACCCGAAACCCGGUGAUCUAGCCAUGGGCAGGUUGAAGGUUGGGUAACACUAACUGGAGGACCGAACCGACUAAUGUUGAAAAAUUAGCGGAUGACCUGUGGCUGGGGGUGAAAGGCCAAUCAAACCGGGAGAUAGCUGGUUCUCCCCGAAAGCUAUUUAGGUAGCGCCUCGUGAAUUCAUCUCCGGGGGUAGAGCACUGUUUCGGCUAGGGGGCCAUCCCGGCUUACCAACCCGAUGCAAACUGCGAAUACCGGAGAAUGUUAUCACGGGAGACACACGGCGGGUGCUAACGUCCGUCGUGAAGAGGGAAACAACCCAGACCGCCAGCUAAGGUCCCAAAGUCAUGGUUAAGUGGGAAACGAUGUGGGAAGGCCCAGACAGCCAGGAUGUUGGCUUAGAAGCAGCCAUCAUUUAAAGAAAGCGUAAUAGCUCACUGGUCGAGUCGGCCUGCGCGGAAGAUGUAACGGGGCUAAACCAUGCACCGAAGCUGCGGCAGCGAACGUAUCACUUAAAGCGAUUCAGCGGGUUACGACUGACGGAGCGAAGCGACGUCAAAGCGUAUACAAAGUCGAGUCGGUUUAAGGAUACGUUCGUUGGGUA